rnacentral:tRNA from 1 species
GGUAAGGUGCCGGAGUCAGGUUAAACGGUCUCGCUUGGAAAGCGAGUGGGCAGUAACUGCCACGAGGGUUCAAAUCCCUCCCUUACCGCCA